rnacentral:lncRNA from 1 species
AUGUUGUUUUGUUUUUCAGAUGAAGAAAAAUGUUUUUCUCUCUCAUCACGCCAAGUGCUACGGCAUUCAGAAGACCUUUGAUAGGUCCUAUGGUAUCUGUUCUCUUGAAGAGAUCCUGGGAAAAAUGAAAGACCAAACAUUACGACUGAGCUUGCCUGAAACUGAAACUUGGUAGAUUGAAGAGACUGAGACAUAAGGAGUGGGGACCUAUGUGUUUGUCUCGGGUAAGGAUGUAUAACCCCCUACCUCCAUGAGUGCCCAAGGCAAGAAAGACUACCCGGAGGAGCAACGUGACUACCAGGAUGCUGAAGGAGCUACCUUCUGCAUGGGUGUCAGCUAUGUCAGAUGAGAGGCACUCAUAGCUUUCUCCAGGUAGACAUUCCUCAACAACUCCAGAAAAGUGCUCCAUAAGAAAAAGCUCAAGUAUUUGUUCAACUGCCUUAUUAAAAGGAUGGAAUCUAUGCCUGCCCAUUUUAUUAUUAUUAUUGUUAUUUUUUUGAGAUGAAGUCUCGAUCCGUCGCCAGGCUGGAGUGCAGUAGUGCAUUCUCGGCUUACUGCAACCUCCACAUCCUGGGUUCAAGCAAUUCUCCUGUCUCAGCCUCCUGAGUUGCUGGGACUACAGGCACAUGCCACCACACCUGGCUAAUUUUUGUAUUUUUAGUAGAGACGGGUUUCAUCCUAUUGAUCAGGCUGAUCUUGAACUCCUGACCUCAGGUGAUCCACCUGCCUCCGCCUCCCAAAGUGCUGGGAUUACAGGAGUGAGCCACUGCACCCAGCCUCCAUUUUAUUCUUAAUUCCUCACCACAUGGGUCUAACUGUGGGGGCAGCUACCAUGGCCAGCGAGUGUGAAAGAAGAGGAGUGAGGAUGAGGGAAGUCAAUCAGUCUCCCCCUUUAGACUUCCAGAUCAAUUCCCAUAAACACUUGGAUCACAAAGUCUUUUUGUCUUCCUAAGAACAUUUGGUAUUUCACUAUAUUAAUGUUUGACAGAAUCUUCUUUUGGAAAAUUACUAUUAUCCAAUGUUAUUUAUAAAUAUAUAUGCAUGCAACCUAAAUAAAAUACUUGCAAAUGGAUUACAGUCAUGUAAUAAAGAAGAAAUCACUGUGACAG